CAGCACUUCAGGAGGACUGGCUCAUCACUGCCUUAAAGUAUAUGGAGUCUAACCCAGAGACUUUACAAGAACUGAUGACCAAGAACUACGCAAUGAUGGAAGGGGACGUGAUUCUGUCUACUGACAGGAAUUUUGUGGGAAAUGCAUGGCCAACACGAAAGAUCCCUUACAUCAUCAGUCCAGAGUUAG